UACGUAGGCAGCAAGCGUUGUUCGGAGUUACUGGGCGUAAAGGGUGCGUAGGCGGCUUUUUAAGUUUGGUGUGAAAUCUCCCGGCUCAACUGGGAGGGUGCGCCGAAUACUGAGAGGCUAGAGGUGUGGGAGAGGAAAGUGGAAUUCCUGGUGUAGCGGUGAAAUGCGUAGAUAUCAGGAGGAACACCGGUGGUGUAAACGGCUUUCUGGACCGAUAACUGACGCUGAGGCACGAAAGCGUGGGUAGCAAACAGG
rnacentral:rRNA from 1 species